UAAUCCUAUGCAGGUGAGGUGCCAAGUAACAUAUGUGUUCCCCCGCUACACAGCUCAGGAGGUCCGAAAGGGGGCCUCCUGCUCCACCACAACCUGUCAUUCAAGGUCAUUCACGCUGUUCCUCGCUUCAUACUCGAGGAACAAGAGCACAUUUCUUCUCGCAGCUUCCUUAGCACCCUAGCCCUGUACCUGUCUAAGUCAAUGUCUGUUUUUGUUUGUAAGUUAUUCAAGACAGGGCUUCUCUGUGUAGCCCUGGCUGUCCUGGAAUUCGCUCUGUAGACCAGGCUGGCUCUGCCUCCCGAGUGCCUCCUGGUGGGACUAAAGACCAUCAUGUCCAGCACCCUCCCAUUUUUUUUUUAACAGUGACUCCUUAACUAUCAUAUAGUUUUCACCCAACUGCUCUUCAUCAAAUAGCCCUUAGGUAACCAGAGUUUAUAUGUUAAAUGUGAGAUGAGAAAUUAGCUCAGUUAAACACCUUUAGCAUAAGCCGGUUGUUGAUGGCGCACGCCUUUAAUCCCAGCACUUGGGAGGCAGAGGCAGGCAGAUCUCUGUGAGUUCCAGACCAGCCGGGUCUACAAGAGCAAGUUCCAGGACAGCUUCCAAAGCCAUAGAGAAACCCUGUCUUGAAAAACCAAAACAACAACAACACCUUUAGCAUAGAGGAGGCUCCUGGGCCAAGCAUUGCACAGCAAAGCCAAACAGAACAAGAAGCUGGGCAUGAUAAUGCAUAUAUGUUAUCUAAGCACUCAAGAGCUAGAGGCAUACCAGGGAUGUCCCUCAGUGGGUAGAGUGUUUGUUUGGUUAGCCCACACAAAGCUCUGGGUCCAAUCCCCAGCACCACAUAAAUGACCUAUGCCUGUAAAGGAAAGAGGAUCAGGAGUCCAAGGUAAUCGUUGGUUACACAGUACUUUAAGGCCAGCAGGACUUCAGAAGACCCUGUCUCAACAUACUUUGAACACACUUAUACUAAAAAAAAAAUCAUCUAUUGUUUAUUCUAAAUUCCAAUUGAACUGGUUAUCUUGGGGUUUUGUUGUUGUUUAUUUUUGUUAUCAUGGAAACCCUAGAAAUAGUCUGUGUUCCAUUCCUUUGUCUCCCACUUAAAGGCAAAUUCUGUGAGGGUACAGACGUGGUCUGUUAGAUCCCUUGCUAUAAACACCUGUCAUCUAGUGCUGGGCAUCAUGAGGCUUGGCCGACGGUUGGCACCCACAAGGGUUGAGACUGAAGGUAGAGGCUAUCCACACCAACCACACCACAUCAGCAGUAACCAUGCGAUCCACGCCACGCUCCUUUCUAGCCUCCACUGUCUCCUCAGAAAUUUCCCAAUUGUCAUGGGGAUUCCAAGAACUCACAAGUAUCCAUUUCUGGGCUACUACCAGAACAUGCUGAACGACUGAAUCCAGGCAAAGGUCAGUCCCACCAGCACAAGUUGGAAUAGAGGCAGAAAAUUGCCAUGAAAAUGGUUUUGGUCCCCUUUCCUCUCCAUCUUGUCUUACUGAAUAUUCUCACCUAAAACCUCUGCAUUUCUGGCAUGGAGAUACUCUGUUCUUCUUAGCUAUGAAAGAGAACGAUGACCAUUUGAUACUGCAGGCCCUGAGGGGAUAACUAGGACAGCCUCGGCCAAUGUUCUGACAACUGAGUAUUGUUAGCUUGGACUCCUCAGUUACUUAGGGAGGACUUUGGAGCUUUGGAAUAUUCUUCCAAUAAUUCAUGGCUUUUUUUUCUUUUUCUUUUUUUUAGUUUUUUGAGGCAGGGUUUCUCUGUGGCUUUGGAGGCUGUGCUGGAACUAGCUCUUGUAGACCAGGCUGGUCUUGAACUCACAGAGAUCCGCCUGCCUCUGCCUCCCGAGUGCUGGGAUUAAAGGCGUGCGCCACCAACGCCUUGCCAUUCAUGGCUAUUUAGUCAGCUAACUAACUCUUGUGAGUUAUGGCAUUUUUCUCAUGGCCACUUUCCCCAAGGCAGAAAGCCAGAGAAGAGGUAAGAGCUCCCUACCCCGCCCCCCAAGUCACACCUUUUCAUUCAUUAACUUCUUUGGGACUGUAACCAAGACCUAAGGUGCACAUAGAGGUCAGAAGACAAUUCUGUGGAGUCUGUUCUCUCCCUUCAUCUUUACAAGUAUUCCAGGAACUGUGCUCAGUUGUCAGGCUUGUCAGGGCAACUGCCUUGACCCAUACCCACAGAGCCAUCUUUCUAGGUUUUUCUAGCCAUAGCUCCCCCUUUCUGAAUAGCCAUUGAAACCUGGUAGUUUGCAAGAACCAAGAUGGAGUCAAAAGGAAUAGCUCAAAGUUUGGGGUUUCCAUCUCGAAUUAGUUUGCAGCUGACAUCUCUUCCUCUGUCCCCAACAGAUGCCCAACAGGGUCCAUGGCUUCCAGGAGUUGUAAUGGAGCAGCAGAGAAGUUAUCGCUUGAGCAGCUCAUCUCCGAUGCUGGGAGCCCCAUUUCUUCAUCCUCCUUUCCCUCCCUGCUGCUUGCAUUUAUUUGGAGCCACUGGGAUUGGCUGAUUUAUUUCUCUCCUCACAGACUCUACACUGUAUGUGGGGAUAGUUCCCCAUUCAAAAGCCCAAAGCAGCAUGGUGGUGUGAAAAACAUAGUUUUCUCCUACUAGUCCACAUUUCCUGAGCCCUUCCCCUUUAUGCUGAUUAGCCAGUUGCAUCAGAUUGUGACCUUCAGCUUGCACCAAUGGAAAAUGAGAUGAAUUUACCACCUAUAGCAGACAUAACAGGGGCCAUUUGCCUGUGUGUGCUUUCUCGCCCAGUUUGUGUUGUGGUACAACCAUUUUGUAAAAAGAAAUUGCUUUGCUGAAUUA